rnacentral:rRNA from 1 species
UGGGGAAUUUUGGACAAUGGGCGAAAGCCUGAUCCAGCAAUGCCGCGUGUGUGAAGAAGGCCUUCGGGUUGUAAAGCACUUUUGUCCGGAAAGAAAUGGCUCUGGUUAAUACCUGGGGUCGAUGACGGUACCGGAAGAAUAAGGACCGGCUAACUACGUGCCAGCAGCCGCGGUAAUACGUAGGGUCCAAGCGUUAAUCGGAAUUACUGGGCGUAAAGCGUGCGCAGGCGGUUGUGCAAGACCGAUGUGAAAUCCCCGAGCUUAACUUGGGAAUUGCAUUGGUGACUGCACGGCUAGAGUGUGUCAGAGGGGGGUAGAAUUCCACGUGUAGCAGUGAAAUGCGUAGAGAUGUGGAGGAAUACCGAUGGCGAAGGCAGCCCCCUGGGAUAACACUGACGCUCAUGCACGAAAGCGUGGGGAGCAAACAGGAUUAGAUACCCUGGUAGUCCACGCCCUAAACCGAUGUCAACUAGUUGUUGGGGAUUCAUUUCCUUAGUAACGUAGCUAACGCGUGAAGUUGACCGCCUGGGGAGUACGGUCGCAAGAUUAAAAGCUC